AGAUUGGAAGAGAACAGAAAAAAGAAGUUGUAUGACUUGCCUGAAAUCCACACAAGUACCAAGGCUGCAGCUGACACCAGGCUCCACAGGCGACGUAACCAAGGUAACCCCAAACCCAGGAGCCCAGAUGAACGUCCCUGAGGAUAUCUGGAAGACCGCAGGCUCCAAGCAGUCAAGGUCGAAUGAAUCCCCCAGCUGCGUUCUCUCUCCCUUGCUAUUGCCCUUCCCAUCCCAAUGGCUGCUGAGGGAGGCUCCUAGGGGCCCAGUGUUUUCUUUACAACCCUGGGUGACAUUGCUGGGGCUAAGCACACAUUCUCCUACAACGCCUUUGUUUUGAUCCGUGCAGCUCUGCUGAGCUUCUUUGGGGCCUUGUCAUGUUAAGGAAAAACAAAUGUAAUAAUAUGCACUUAAAAAGGCUCACACGUCUCGAUAUUUUAAUAAGCUUUUGAUUCUACGGGGACCUCCGAAGCUUUUAAAAGUUUAAAGUUAAUAAAGAGAGUAAAAGAAAAAAAUAUGAAUUGUUUUUAAUUAUUAUUGUACAGGAUUAACCAAGCCAGUUGUGUAUAAUUAGACAGUAGCUACCUUGCAUAGUAGAGGCUGUAAAUAGUCCCACAGGGGGGCUGCCAGAAGGCUGAGGUGUUUACAAGACACUGGAGAUGUUUUCACCAAGCACAUAAUUCCCGUUGCAGCUACUAUUGCUUUUAUAAUGGAUGUGUUCAUUACAACCAGAGACUAAUACGUGCAUCCAUCAUCUUUCCCGCUCAGAAGACUCUGAAGUGCAGGAGGCAGGGGAGGGCGUGUGCCAGACUUUGAUGGUGAAAUUAUUAAGAGAGCCCAUUAGUGUGUGGGUUUGGGUGCUUUUAUUUUCGCUGCCAUCAACUGAGAGGAAUUUUGUAAGAGGUUAAAUAAACAAUCGCCGAAGGAGUGAUAAUUAAGAUAUU